AUAACAAUACAGGACUCUUUCGAGGCCCUGUAAUUGGAAUGAGUACACUUUAAAUCCUUUAACAAGGAUCUAUUGGAGGGCAGGUCUGGUGCAGAGCGACUGACCGGUGCGUGCUGCAGCUGAAA